UUAGGCGGCCACAGCGGUGGGGUUGCCUCCCGUACCCAUCCCGAACACGGAAGAUAAGCCCACCAGCGUUCCGGGGAGUACUGGAGUGCGCGAGCCUCUGGGAAACCCGGUUCGCCGCCACC
rnacentral:rRNA from 1 species